rnacentral:lncRNA from 1 species
UGUCGACCCGCCGACCACAGCAAUGUCGAAUGUGACGAGAAAGAGGAGGAGGAGGACGACGAUAGCGGCGACUCGCGGGCCAUUUUUUUUGUGCGAAUGAGGCGAGGCUUCUUGGGGGCGAAGGUGGAGACGGAGGAGCUGGCGCCGAGGUUGGCGGUGGUGUGAGCUGCUGGCGCUCGCGGCGGCGGGCGGCGGGCGGCGGGGACCCAAGUUGGGAGAGAGAGAGGAUAAGUUGGGAGAGAAAGAGAGGAUAAUUUAAGAAAAUAGUUUAAUAAGGUAGGGGCAAAAUAGGUAUUUUAAUUAGGUUUUAACUCUGGUACACAUUUAACCCAUGUUUAACUCGAGUUAAACUAACAGGGGAUAACUGCGGGGGUAUUUUGGAAUAACGAUGGAACAUAUGAGGGGCAUUUUAGAAAGAAAAAAAAAAGUAGGGGUAGAUCGGAUAUUUCCAGACGCAUGAGGGGUAUAUAGGCAAUUAUCCCUAUAUAUAUAUAUAUAUAUAUAUAUNNNNNNNNNNNNNNNNNNNNNNNNNNNNNNNNNNNNNNNNNNNNNNNNNNNNNNNNNNNNNNNNNNNNNNNNNNNNNNNNNNNNNNNNNNNNNNNNNNNNNNNNNNNNNNNNNNNNNNNNNNNNNNNNNNNNNNNNNNNNNNNNNNNNNNNNNNNNNNNNNNNNNNNNNNNNNNNNNNNNNNNNNNNNNNNNNNNNNNNNNNNNNNNNNNNNNNNNNNNNNNNNNNNNNNNNNNNNNNNNNNNNNNNNNNNNNNNNNNNNNNNNNNNNNNNNNNNNNNNNNNNNNNNNNNNNNNNNNNNNNNNNNNNNNNNNNNNNNNNNNNNNNNNNNNNNNNNNNNNNNNNNNNNNNNNNNNNNNNNNNNNNNNNNNNNNNNNNNNNNNUAUCAAAAUUUAAAAUUUUAUAUUAUAUAUAUAUAUAUAUAUAUAUAUAUAUAUAUAUAUAUAUAUAUAUGAGUAAGUCUUGUGUCUUAUUAAGAGCACGGAGGCCUCCGUGUUCCUAAGCCGUUUUCGAUGAUAGAGCUUUCGAAUCGACGAUCGGCCUCAUUAGACUUGAUUUAGCGUAUUUGAACUAUGUAGAAAAUAAUUUUUGUGAUUUUUCGGUAUCAUUUUUCUAGCGAUCGAAAUGGCUCAAAAUCAAUAAUUUUUAAUGGUUGAUGUAUACCUUUUGCAAGUUUAACGGUAUAGAAGUUUAAUAUACGAAAAAUUUCAGGUUGCGAUGUUAACUUUGAUUUGGAAGAUUAAAAUGAAGUUUGAAUUGGAUGUGCAUCAUUCUAGAGUGUUUCUAGACAUGUGGGAAUGAUUUCUGGAGGUAAUUGAGUAUUCGGGCACAAAUCGGGCGUGAAAUGAACUUGAAAGGGGAUUUUCGGAUUUUGACGCUAAUUUUGACCUACGCGAUCAAAGUGGGGUAUGAAUAUUAAUUGUAGUACCUCCGGAUUAUUUUGGAAGUGCGAGGAUAGUUAAUGGCAAAUUCCGGAGAUGCUUGGAUGUAAAAUAUCGGAUUUUUGAUUACGUUGUUAAUUUUGAUCAAAUUGAUCGAAGUGAGGCCAAAAUGAAAUUGAUUUGUUUCCGAGCUUAAUUAGUAGCUUGUGGAGGUGUAUUAGUAUAUUUUGGAAGUGUUGGGAUGGACUCGGAGUAAGCUAGCUGCGCCAAAAGGGCUGCAAUUGCUGCUGCUAGGCUGUUGGUUAGUGCAGGGACUGAUUUGCGAAUCUGCAGGGACUAAUUUGCGAACCUGCAAGGACUGUUUUGCAAACUGCUGGACUGCAAUGCAGUUUCAGCCUUGUGAGGGAUUAGUCGGCAAUUAGUUGAUCUUAUCACUUCACCCAGCAGCCCCCAGCCCUGUCUACGUGUUGGACUUCCUCCCUCUCUUUCUUUUCUUAUCUCUAUCUCCUCUUUUAUCUCUCUAGAACCUGGUUGAAGCCUUGUGAGAGAGAGAGCUUGUGGAGUGGAAAUUUUUGUUGAUAGAGCUAAGAAGAGAAACUGUGGAGCUGACAAGAAGCUUGUGGAGCUGAAGAAACCCUUGGGGAAACUCCAAAUCCAGGUAGAGUUGAUGCUUAAUUCCUGGUUGAGUUGUAGUGGCAGCUGUGAGGGUAAUUUUUGAGUAAUUAAGACUUAGAGAGGUGGUUUGGCAACCUUGAUGUUUCAGGAUUGAGGGGGAAGCUACAGAGUAGAAAUUUCGGGCUUCUUUGGUGUCCAAACUAAAAGAGGACCAAGUGGAACUUCAAGCUCAGGUGAGAUUAAUGUAAGUUCCUGGGCUAAUGGGUGUUAAUUGUACUCUAUACUGUAAUGACUACAAAGAGAGUAGUAAUGAGGCAGAUUUCAGCAUUGAAUUCUGUUUAUUAUUGAAGCUGAAAAUGAGCUAAUUGGAUAGCAAAUUAAGAUAAUUAUGGUUAGGUAUGAAUUGAAAUUCAAUUAGUAUAACAGGGAGAUGCAAAUUGGAAGUCAUGUGGGAGUUGGAGCUAGUGAAAAUCACAAAACUGCAUUGUGAAUUCCAUAAGCUAACUCUAAGUAUAUAGAUGUGUGAGUGUAUGCAUAUAUAUAUAUACUUAUAAUUAAGUGUUGGAAGAUAAAAUUUGAGCUAAGAUCAUAUAAAACCCUGCUUCAAAGUGAGGUUAUUUGUCCCUAAUUUUCAGUUACUAAAGAAUAGAAUUGAUGAGAGGCUUAGUAGUAAGAACGAGUAUAUGUAUGUGUUAAUAAUAUAUGCAAGUUGGAGUCGAAAUGCAAAGUUGUAGAAUAUGUGAAUAUAACUGAAGUUUAACCUCUUUUAUUCUUUUCUAAAUGAAGGUUAGACGUGCUCGGAAGUUCGAAUUGACAUUCCGACGAUCUUACGACGCACUAUUUAAGAAACGCUUCAUUCUAGCUCUAUUUGCAUUGAGUCGCGAGAGCUAGUUGUUGACGUAUUUCGAGACGUUGGUUCUAAUCUGUUGGCAUCCCUACAGGUGGGUGGUGCUAUCCGAGGUCAUCGAAUCCCUCUUUAUGUCUAUGCUAUCUUAUUGAGCAUAUCUAUAUAUGUGAAUUGUCAUGCCCCCGCCCCGAGGCCGAUACCAAUUUGGUCCGGUUCGGGCGCGGCGAACGGACCGCCGAACGGACAGCACCUCCCCUGUCCGCCCAAGGCUCGAACAACUAGAUUGUGUACAACAAGUUCCCAGGAAACAACUUGAAUACAUACACAAUCAUACAACAACCACGAGAGCACAAACAGUGCUUAUCAACUAAAGCAAGCAACACAUGUAAAGCAUACAAGUGAUAAAAGAGAGAUGUACUUAACUAUUAAUUCAUUUAACUUUAUACAAUUAUUUCAUCCUUUACAUUCUUCCAAAACGUAGGUACCAUACAUACAAUCUUCUCAAAACCUCACCCUAUACAUCAAUCUACUCUCAAACAUAAGUACAGUGUAGGGCUAAUGCAAAAGGAGGUAAGCUAGCUAUAUACAUAUACCGCUAGGGCGCUACGCCCUUGCCAUGAUCCUCACCGGGAGCGCUCGAACUCGGACCUGCAACACGGUGGAGUGAGAACUAUGAAUAGUUCCCAGUGGGUUCGGCCGCCGACUCGGCCGAUCUCCCUACUAGGUCUAAGCAGGUACAGAUAGAUAUGCAGAUAGACAGAUAUGUAAAACUGAAAGCAUUAGCAGUAAUGAGCAACUAUGAACUAUGAUCUAUCAAUGCCUCAAUCCAGUAUGAUGCAUGCAUGGGACUCAUAGUGAGAAGGCUGGCUAUCAUACUACCAUGCUCAAUAAUAAAAUCAUUCAUCCAAUUACCCAAUCUCUCGGCGAAUGCAAGGUUCGCUCAUGGUCUCACGUCUCUAAGUCUCAUAGGGGAGGUGGCUAGCUAUUCACCUACCCCGAGACCGCCUGUGGACACUACACUCGUCCAAGGGCACUACACUGGCCCCCUCGCGUGCCAAACUCCGGAGUGCACUACCUGUGAGGAGCUACCUCCACAGGUGCAGACAGGCUAAGUGAGCUCGAUCCAAUCUCAUAAACUGGGAACACCCUAACCAACUGGAAUUGGUGUCUCUAUAACAUCAGGUGUUCAUCUGCUCAAUCUCAUAGUGUCUCAACCACACUAAAGUUCUCAAGUUCAAUACCAAUUAGGUGCCACUUGUUUUGGGUUCACUGUUUACUAGAUGCCACUCGUUCUCUUGACAAGUUCUUGAUACACUAGUUUCCAAUACACUAUGUUCUUAUUCACAUAGACAUAUUCAUCACAUAUAGGGCGAACUAUCUCAUAAUAUUCUACUCAUGCAUACUAGGUUUUCAUUCAUUAUAUCCACAACUCGAACUAUCACUAGCAUGCAAAGAUAUGUACAAUCACAUUUAACACCCUAUAAUGCUAUAUUACAAUAUGUAAAUGAUCGACAAUGUUACUCAGACAUAAAGAGCAGCCCGACUGCUUCGGGAUGGCACUCCCCCACCUCGUGGCGAUGUCGUGAGUCUUCAAAUGCGAUUCGCCGACUUUUCGACGCCUCGUUGGCCUUCUAAGCGAGAACGAAGCUCCGAAGGUCUUCUUUGGCGAUAACUGUGCACCCACUCGACGGAUCGACGAACCGUCUUCGCCGACACGUUCAGAGACCUAGCAAUUAGGUUUGCGACCACUCAAAUUAGAUCAAAACCCUAAAUUUGCCAAAAUCCCAAAUCGAAGCCCUAGGUUUCAACAAUGGAGAAAUCCGCGGUGCGAGCUUCGAUUUCGAGCUCGAACCAUCUCCCUAACCUCCAUAGGUUCCAAUUGAACCAAUACCAAGCUACUAAAACCCUAGCUUACAAAACCCACCAUCAAAGGGUUUGGAGCUUACCUCUAAACAAAGCUCCAAGCUUGAAGAAGGAGAGAAGAAGAUGAUCCUCUUCUUCUUCUUAGCCUUCUCCUUCUUUUUUCUCUUCUUUUCCUUCCCCUUCUUCCACUCCUUCUUCUUCUCCUUCCUUUCUUUUCUAGAGAGAGAGAAGGAAAGAGUGUAAAAGGGAGAGAGAGCAAAUGAGAUGGAGAGAUGGGUCCCGAAGCCUUCAUAUAGGCCAUUUUGCAGAUAGCCCCCUCAACUUUUUAUUUUCUGAAACAACCCUCCUUGGGCCAUUUUCGCAGUGAGGGACCGGUCCCAGCUCAAGGAGACCGGUCCCCGAAGGCCUCCCAUUCGGAUAGAGGGGUUUUCGCGUUCGGGAACCGGUCCCUACUCGAGAGACCGGUCCUCGGGAGACCGGUCCUUGUCCGAGAGAGCAGUUCCCGAGAGCUAGAUUCUCGGGACUUAGCCAAAUUUCGGUUUGUCUAGUAGGGUUAAUGUUCGGGAACCGGUCCCUGCCUGCCAGGGACCGGUCUCAUCAGAGACCCCCGCAGCCCAGCCCGAUGGGACCGGUCCCUCCCUGCCAGGGACCGGUCCCCAAGAGCAUUUCUACUCCAGUGCUGUUUUUGCACUGGUGCUCUCGCGGACAUUUCCUCAAUGCACUUUAUGCAUUAUAACCACCUUCGGACUUUCCGAAGCUUACACACUCGACAAUUAGUCGAUUCCCAACGAAGUCUAAUCCCCGAAUUUCGAGAAUUCACUUCCCUUACAUGAAUUGUUUCAUAUUCAUGCAUUAUAGGGAAAAGUGUUAUUAUGCAAUUGAAUUUCUGUCAAUGUAAAGAACAUGUGGGCCAUAGAAUAUGAACAUAGAACUAUAUAAAUGUGUGAAUUUUACUGUGGACUAUGAUAAUAGUAAAUUUGGUCACAUCAUGACUAGAGAUUUGGUUAGCAUCGAGAAUGAAAUUGUAAAACUAGCAUAAAGAACUAGUUAGAGUUAAAGUGUGGCAUUGUCAUUUGUUGGGCCCUCUAAAGGAGGAUCAGAUCAUACUCACAAUAGUUUAUGUUCAAGGAAGGUCGCUCCUCCUUGAACGAUGAGCUCCGGAGUAGUCAUCUUAACUGGAUCAGGAGCUAGCGUCUCCCCCAGUAGACAGUCCCGUCGGGAUGUAGCUUGCGUCUCCUCGAUACUUGGGAUUUCGUCGGUGAGUUAUUGUUAACCAAAGGGUUAACCUGUUUAAUUGGGUAAUAAUUAUGUACAGCAUGCAUGCAUCAAUUUCAGCUAUUAUCUACUGUUUCUUUCAACUUUGUACAGGCAUUGUAGUAGUUACAUGUUAUAGCUGGUUACUAUCUAUUCUCUUUUCUUGCCUACAUAUGCCUGAAUAGACCUAGUAGGUCAGUCGGCAAGGUCGGCAGCCGAACCCACUGAAAACUUUUAGUAGUUCUCACACCACUAAUCAUACAGGUUCCAGCUCGUGCGGGGUGAUCGAGGAUCGUGGUAUAGACAGCAUUCCAUAGAUAGUGGACAUCCAUUGAGUAUAGUUGUACUUUAUUUCUUUCAUCUGUUUAUAGUUGAUGAAAGCAAAUGUAAAUUAUUCAUUUGAGAGAUGGCAAUGUAUAUGUUGGAAGAAUGAAUGUAAUAAUUAUAUAAGAUUUGUAUUUGAUUUAAAGUAAUCAAGAUACAAUGUAUAAAUGCUUUAGUUAGUUUACUUACACUUGCUUGUGUUGCUUGCCCUCGUGCAAGCCAUGUAUAUUAAAAUUUUUCCUAACAUUUCUUUAUACAUGUUUAUUGUUGUUGUUGAGCCUUGAGCGAAUAAAGGAGGUUCUGUCCGUUCGGCGGUCUGUCGGCGUGCCCGAAUCCGACCAAGUUGGCGGUUUCGGGGCGUGACAGAUUAAAUGGUAUCAGAGCAAUGCAAGUGAAAGUACAGGAUGGACCUAGGGACCUUAGGAGGAAAAACCAUAAGGAUCUAGGUUCGUGAGAGACGAGAAUCUUGGUAGGUGGCGAAAGGUUAAACCGAUUGGGUCGUGUGUUGUAUACCUCUAAAAAGGAUCUUAGAGGUGGAUUCAAGGUUUAGUGUAUUCUCAGCAGGGAGUGUUCAUGUUGGGUGCACACAACAUGAAACCGAGUGAUGAGAAUAGGCUCCCUUGUAUGACUUUCGCCUGAUUUGAUUCUGGGUUGACGAUAGUUGUUUCGUGUUUGACCUUGAAAGUCAAGAAUUGAUCGCGUUGUCGGGCGUUUAGUGGUCUUGUGUAGCCGAUCUCUAAUGAGAUCGAUAUGGUCUGGGAUAAGUGGAAUCCUUGAAUUGACCGAGCUUGAAGAAAGCUUGAAGCUUUGGGGUCGGUUAGUCACGAUCGUGGUAGGGUUGUGGCGAUGAAUAGUUGUAGUGCAAUGUUAGCGAGAGGCUGUAGUGUAUUUGGUGGAUUGAGUCAAUGGACUCUAGAAGACUUUGGAGUAGUUGAUAACCGCACUGAUUGUGGUUUGUUGUGGGUAGUUGGAAAUAGUGAUAGAGGUUGUUUUGCUGGAAUUGGGUAAAUUGACUUCUGGCUUUGCAGUAUAGAAAGCAGAUGAGGGCAAUUGUGAAUAACCUUUGUGGCCUUCAGGAAAGUUUAGUCCAUCUGUUUUGGAUAAAGAAAUAUUCGCGGGUUGAGAAUCGGUGGUUUGGCUUCAGGGAAAUCUUCCCUAGAAGGAUUGGUGUAUCGGGGAUAGGAUAUAGAGUUUGUUGUUGGAAUAAACAAUAGGUGAACUUCCAGGUAAGUUCGAGAAGCUAUAGCAGGGUGACUACUCAGUGAAGAAGUCUGUAGAGAGAUUUUCUGCAUGCUGAAGGGUGUUUGGUAUACGUUGUGAGAUGAUGGAGACCAAGCUGAUUAUGAUGUGUGGAAACUUCGAUAGAGGAUGUGUCGAAGUUAUACAUUCUCUUAAUUUACAAAUUUCUGAUGAAGUAUUGAAUUGAAUCUUAUGGUUGAAGUCGGGUGAUAUUUCGCGCGGAAGGAACGCGAACUGAUUAGUUGAGAAUGGAGGAUGAGCGACUAAUGUAUGGUUCGGGUGGUCAAUCGAGUGUUAAGCAAUACCCGGAAGAGAGUUGCAGUCGUCAUUCUAGAAUUCGGAAGGUCUAUUGGUUGAUUUUUUUCGAGAGGAAUGGAAAGGUAACUUUCACCCGGCGAGGCCGCGUGUGUUGUUGAAUAAGUGAAGUUGUAGUAGAUGGAUUUCGAUAAGCAAAUUGUAAAGCUGCAGGGACCAAAUUGUAAACAGCAAGGCUGCAAUGCACUUUUUGGUUUUUAAGGGAUUAAGUUGCAGUUUUUCAGCCUUAUCCCCUUAAAACUGGUCCCCUGCAUAUGCCCACGUACCAAACAUCUCCUCCCACAGCCUCCUUCUCACCUCUUUCCUUCUCUUUCUCUCUCUAUGUGGAUAGAGCUCGGAAUGAGAAUGGAACUGAUGAACUAACUCUUUAAGUAUUAAGAGUAAUAGUGAGGGUCAGAUUAGAACGUUAGAAGACGCUUCUAGAGUUCGAGAAUUCGGAUGAUAUUCCGAGAGAUUGUGUAAUGGUGAUGGCGUCGUUGUUGUGGCGUGGUUAGAUGAUCGCCUGGUUUUGGUGAGUUAGUCGAGUUGUACCUCAAAUAAGUUGAGGGAAUUUGUGUUUACGUAUUAUAGGCAUAGGCAAAGUUGCCUAGCGCGUGAUAUCUAGUGAGAGACGCGAUAGUGUAGGACACUUGAGUUUGGUUGUCCGUAAAGUAUGGAUUGUGGCUCAGCCGAGGGAGUGUGUUGGUAAAUGUGAAGCCUGCCAUGGAUCACUCGUAGGGCUGGUAGCUCGCACUACGUGCUUAGAAGCCGAUCGUGUUGCAAAUUGCUCUAUUGAGCAUAUGGUGAGUGGCAACGAUUGAGGAUAUUACGUGAGAACGAUCCGUGCCUGGACCAUGUGUGAACCUUAGAGCCUGAGGCUGUUUGAGCAAGUAUAGUCAGUUGUGUCUGACGGUAGCCCGAUACCUAUGGGUAGGGCAGAGAUUUUGGUCGGAGCGGUAGUCCGAGCUUAGAUCAGUGAUGUGGUAUGCCACGUAUUGGACCAUGUGGUUAGUAAUACACGGAAAGUAUAGGUUUGAUCCAACCUCAAGAUUGUAGGGGUUUGGAAAUUGGAUUGCUCCUAAUUGGAGUAGGUGUGAGGUCUCAAAUGGAGAUUUUACCAUGUGAUGAUUGGGUCUACGCUUGCGAGCGAGAGACAUUAUGUAAUGUCGCGAUUAAGUUAGGCGAUAGGCCUACGUUGGAUAGGUGGUUUGUUAACCGAUUGCUCUCGAAAUACGAGAGUUGGUGUAAUAUUAUGAAUCGAGGGUAGUGACCUUGGGAACGAAGUCUCGGUCCUACUGGUUGCCUGUUUUGAGUUGCCGAGUUAGGCGUUGAUGAGGAGUUAAGAUUAGAGACAUGAACAAAAGUGUUCGUGGAAACUCGUGGCGAGAGAUUGGUAUAAUGUGAAAGUGGCCGGAAAAGUAAAAGAUGUUCUUGAGAUUAUUGUGUAGUGGAAGCCACGUGAGAUUUUGGAGAAUUAUGCCUUCAAAUCAUUGGAGUGGUGGAGAUGUUAGAAUGAGCCUUUUAUUGAGUGGAAAUUUGUGUGUGAGUAAACAUUCACAAUUGAGCAGUGUAUUGUGAUAUCGCAAGUAGCGAUGCCAGUUAAGAAAUCAAAGUAGACUCCACUAGAGUAAUGGGUGAAAUGGAAGUUACCUGAUAAAUUUGUAUUUGACUCAAGAUAGUCUACGGACCUUUCGAGUAAGCGCCGUGCAGGAAUGAUUCCCACCGUAAGAAAAACAGCUAGCACUAUUCUUUGAAGUAAAAUAAUGCUUAUUGGUAUGAAUUGGUUAUCAUUUAUGGAUAAUAAGAAUGAUAACAGGGGCAUGUUUAGUUGAUGGUGCAGGUAGUUGUUGAUUGUAUGAGGAGAAUGUUGAUUCUAAAGCAUAUCCUUUAAGUGAGAAUUGAAUUAAUGUGAUAACCAAGACAAAUAAGCAUUUGAUAGUAAAUGAUAUUGGAGUAUAGUAGGUCAUCGAAUAUUGACUUACAUUGCUGUUGGGACAUGUUCUGGAUGUGCGUGAUUAAUUAUAUUAAGAGGAUUGAUACAAGUGGUUACCAAAAACUAUAAGAUUAUGAUGCCAAAUCUUAAGAAUUGGGUUAGCCCAUCUAGUAGGGGAUGGGCAUUAAGUAAGAAUUGCUUUUGGGCAUGAAGUAUGUGAGGAAAUGCACAAUGAAUUUCAAGUUGAUUGAAUAUAACUCCUCAAUUGUUCCAAGGAAGAACAAUGGAAUUACUAGAUAAAGUAACUUGGGAAUAGUGUCAAUUAUGCAUUUUGGAUUCGUGUGAAUGAGGAAAUUACAGAAUAUUAUAAUUAUGUAUAUAGGUGGGUGCUGGAACCUAUCUUCAUAUGUUUAACUGGAUAAAUGAAGAUAUGUAAGUGUAUCCAAGUUUCGCGGACGAAACUUUUGUUAACGAGAGGAGAUUAUAAUAUACGAAAAAUUUCGCGUUGCGAUGCUAACUUUGAUUUGGAAGAUUAAAGUGAAGUUUGAAUUGGAUGUGCAUCAUUCUAGAGUGUUUCUGGACGUGUGGGAAUGAUUUCUGGAGGUAAUUGAGUAUUCGGGCACAAAUCGGGCGCGAAAUGAACUUGAAAGGGGAUUUUCGAAUUUUAACACUAACUUUGACCUACGCGAUCAAAGUGGGGUAUGAAUAUUAAUUGUAGUAUCUCCGGAUUAUUUUGGAAGUGCGAGGAUAGUUAAUGGCAAAUUCCAGAGAUGCUUGGAUGUAAAAUAUCGGAUUUUUGAUUACGUUGUUAAUUUUGAUCAAAUUGAUCGAAGUGAGGCCAAAAUGAAAUUGAUUUGUUUCCGAGCUUAAUUAGUAGCUUGUGGAGGUGUAUUAGUAUAUUUUGGAAGUGUUGGGAUGGACUCGGAGUAAGCUAGCUGCGCCAAAAGGGCUGCAAUUGCUGCUGCUAGGCUGUUGGUUAGUGCAGGGACUGAUUUGCGAAUCUGCAGGGACUAAUUUGCGAACCUGCAAGGACUGUUUUGCAAACUGCUGGACUGCAAUGCAGUUUCAGCCUUGUGAGGGAUUAGUCGGCAAUUAGUUGAUCUUAUCACUUCACCCAGCAGCCCCCAGCCCUGUCUACGUGUUGGACUUCCUCCCUCUCCUUCUUUUCUUAUAUCUAUCUCCUCUUUUAUAUCUCUAGAACCUGGUUAAAGCCUUGUGAGAGAGAGAGCCUGUGGAGUGGAAAUUUUUGUUGAUGGAGCUAAGAAGAGAAACUGUGGAGCUGACAGGAAGCUUGUGGAGCUGAAGAAACCCUUGGGGAAACUCCAAAUCCAGGUAGAGUUGAUGCUUAAUUCCUGGUUAAGUAGUAGUGGCAGCUGUGAGGGUAAUUUUUGAGUAAUUAAGACUUAGAGAGGUGGUUUGGCAACCUUGAUGUUUCAGGAUUGAGGGGGAAGCUACAGAGUAGAAAUUUCGGGCUAUUGGAGCUGAGAAUAACCUGGUAUAAUACCUAAUUAAGGUAAGCCUGUUCUGGUAUCUGAUCAUAGUCAAAUCAAUUGCCUUAGAAUUGAUCAAUAUAAGGGUUUCUUGCUGUUAGUGUUGGCAAGCUGGUUGAUCUUGGUCUCGUAGAGGGGCCGAGUAGAAGUUUCAGCUGAGGAAACUUGGAAAUUGGAUUAAGUAAUUGCUUCUUUGUUAGGCUUAGUGUAGUUGCAUAAAAGAAAUGCUUCUCAGUCAGUUAAAUUGAUAUAGAUAUGCAGGAAAUUAAGAAGUGAUUGUAGAAGUGUGAAGGGGCUGUCUUGUAGAUCUUGGCGCCCAAAUUGGAAGAGACCUGGUGAAUCUCUUUGAUAUUUCGAAUUGAAAGGGGGGACUUGGUGGAGCUCUGAAUCCAGGUAAAGAUGAUAUUUCUUCCUUGGUUUGAGUCCUAUGAAUUGCUCUAAAGAAUGUAAACAAUAAUUAUUUUAUGUGUAGGAGCUAGGAGAAAACGUUAGUGAGGAAGUAAGUGUGCAGAAUUUCAGCAUGGUGCAGAUUUUGAGGUUGAGCUGAAAUUGCUUCCUUAUUAGAGCUUCUUUGGUGUCCAAACUAAAAGAGGACCAAGUGGAACUUCAAGCUCAGGUGAGAUUAAUGUAAGUUCCUGGGCUAAUGGGUGUUAAUUGUACUCUNGCUUCUUUGGUGUCCAAACUAAAAGAGGACCAAGUGGAACUUCAAGCUCAGGUGAGAUUAAUGUAAGUUCCUGGGCUAAUGGGUGUUAAUUGUACUCUAUGCUGUAAUGACUACAAAGAGAGUAGUAAUGGGGCAGAUUUCAGCAUUGAAUUCUGUUUAUUAUUGAAGCUGAAAAUGAGCUAAUUGGAUAGCAAAUUAAGAUAAUUAUGGUUAGGUAUGAAUUGAAAUUCAAUUAGUAUAACAAGGAGAUGCAAAUUGGAAGUCAUGUGGGAGUUGGAGCUAGUGAAAAUCACAAAACUGCAUUGUGAAUUCCAUAAGCUAACUCUAAGUAUAUAGAUGUGUGAGUGUAUGCAUAUAUAUAUACUUAUAAUUAAGUGUUGGAAGAUAAAAUCUGAGCUAAGAUCAUAUAAAACCCUGCUUCAAAGUGAGGUUAUUUGUCCCUAAUUCUCAGUUACUAAAGGAUAGAAUUGAUAAGAGGCUUAGUAGUAAGAACGAGUAUAUGUAUGUGUUAAUAAUAUAUGCAAGUUGGAGUCGAAAUGCAAAGUUGUAGAAUAUGUGAAUAUAACUGAAGUUUAACCUCUUUUAUUCCUUUCUAAAUGAAGGUUAGACGUGCUCGGAAGUUCGAAUUGACAUUCCGACGAUCUUACGAUGCGCUAUUUAAGAAACGCUUCAUUCUAGCUCUAUUUGUAUUGAGUCGCGAGAGCUAGUUGUUGACGCAUUUCGAGACGUUGGUUCUUAUCUGUUGGCAUCCCUACAGGUGGGUGGUGCUAUCCGAGGUCAUCGAAUUCCUCUUUAUGUCUAUGCUAUCUUAUUGAGCAUAUCUAUUGUCACGCCCCGAGCCCGAUCCCUUUUGGCCGGUUCGAGAGCGUCAAACAGACGCCGAACGGACAAAGCUUCCCCUGUCCGCCCAAGGCUCAACACAAGUAUCAAUAGAGUACAAUUUGCAUAAGCGGAAGCAUACACAAUGGCUUGCACGAGGGCAAGCAAUAGCCAAGGUGAAAGAAUUAAUAAUUCAAUAUACAAAUAAUAUGACUAAAUUUAAAUCACAUACAUGCAUCCAACUAUAAUCAAGUUGUUCACAUUCUUCCAUCAUUUCUUUUUACAUCUCAUUUCAUCCAAAAUAUAACUUUUGACAUUUAAAAUCAAGAUUCUUUACAUCAUUCAUUAAAGGAAGUUUGUGAUACUAAAAUCAUCAAAUACAAAAGAUGAUAGUAAAAGGUAUGCAACUACAAAUGAUAACCAUCUCGGGCGGUCUCUACCUAGGGCGCGAUGCCCUUGCCGCGAUCGUCUGCCGGCUCGCUGGGUCCCGGCUCUGUGAAAUAGGGGUGUGAGAACUACAACAAAGUUCCCAGUGGGUUCGGCAACCAACCACGCCGACUAUCCCACUAGGUCUAAUCAGGCAUAAUAGAAUGAAAGGAAGAAAGUAACCAAUUAACAGAUGCAACUAAUAUGCCUGAACGAUAUAAAAUGAUAUGCACAAUGUAAAGCUCAUGAUGAAUGCAAGGUCAUAGUGUCAAUACCCAAUUUCAUGGCUAACCCGUAGGUUUCGCCCUCAACAAACUCACCAACUCAAAAUCCCAAUGAUCGGAGAGAUACUCGCUACACUCGAUGGGACCGCCCUCUGGGGAGAUACUCGCUACACCCAGUGAUGUCGACUCCGGAGCAUAUCGCCCGAGGGGGAGCUACCACAACCUCGAGCAAGGACUAAAGUGAGUACGAUCAAUCCUACAGUUGAGGAUUCCAAGUUCAAUCCAUUUCUUAACUUUAAGGAAGACUAUGCUCAAUUAACCCUUAACACUAAGGUUGAAUGUCAUAAUAUAUCAAUCGUUCUUGUUCUUGCAUUCUUUACUACCACUAAUGUCAUAUAGACUAUCAGGUUCUUGAACUCAUGCCACACUUGUUCUCUAAAUGCUAGAUUCUUGUCCUCAUGCCAAAUGCCACACUUGUUUACUAAGGAUUCUAGACUCGUCGAUGUCACUUGCUAGAUCUAUGUCAAAGUGUCACUUUUCGUUUACUAACCCUUCUAGGUUCUUGUCACAAUCAUGCAUACAUAGGGAUCAUCAGUUUGCGAGACGGCUUACAAUAUUUAACAUGUGGCAUUUUAAGUGGUGUACAUUUAAACGGUGACAGCAAAACUUCGCAGAUGGUACGCGCGUAUUAUGCAAGAUGUCUACAAAAAUGCACAAAUGUCUCAAAAUAUGACACUUAGAAUAGAGAGAUUUUCAGUGUCCCUUGGAAUGCACCACCCAACCUUAGAUGGUGUACAAAGUAGCUCGGUAAAUUUCUUUGAAAUUUUUGAAGUCCCUAAUCCGCGUGCUGCGGCUAUCUGUACGGCAAACGACCGUUUGUCAAUAACUGCAUAACUCGUCGGAUUGUUCGAACCGGGUUCCAAGCGUUUAAAAUACCCUUAAUUAGUUCCAUACAAUGAUCAAAAUAGCAUCAAAAACCUAACUUCGUGGCAAAACCCCUCAUUUGGGAUGCCUAACAUGCAAUUUUUUGCAUUUGUUCUCUUAAAUUGAUUAAUUGCUAGCAAAGAAAGCUUAGAAUCACUAGGGAAGCCCUCUCUAUAGAUUCCUGUAGCUUUUAGCAACCAAUCCCUAGACCAUCUACUUUGAGCCCCUUAGUAGAUCCACCAUUGAGAGGUCGGUCAAGAAAUCAUGUUUUCAUGGAGUCAGUGUGUCUUUAGAGGAUUCUAGGUAAUAGAGGAUCAAAACUCUAUCCCAUCGAUGGCAAGCUUGUUAAAACCCAAACCUAGACUCUCUUCGUACAAUAAACUCACCUUGCGAUGAGCUAACAAAGUCCAACCUUUGUUGGAGAGCUACUAAAACCUCCAAGCCUCAAAUCCCAAUUCUCUUUUUCUUCUCCACCUUCAUCCACCAAACCUAGGGUUUUUUCUAGAGAGGAGAAAGAGAGAAAUAAGAGAGAGAGAGUGGUUUUGAGAGUGUGCUAAUUUGAAAGGGGUACGAGGCAUAGGCUCAUAGCAUGUUGCCAGACCAAUUUGCAAACAAACCCCCCACAAACGAUGUCAUUUUGCAGUCAAACCUUCAAUAAGUACUGUCUGGGGGCUUCUAGUUCUGGUGGAAUACCUAUAUCCGGGACUACAAUGACAAGCAUCUUCUUAGCUAUACGGUGGACGGUACAAGACCAACACCAUAUGUAGCCACAAACUGGGAGAUGCUGCCUCUCUGGUGCGCGAGGUGUCUGUACCGUACACGGGGGGUCUUGUACUGGUACAAGAGGCCUGCGAUUGCAGCAACCCGAGAGCCUACUCAGCUCGCGAUUGCCACUGGUGUGUACCACGGGUACACCAUCACCUGGUUCUUGCUUGUACCUGGUUACAACAGCGUCUCCAGUUCGCGCUUAUACUUUAGUGCUUCGUAGUUCGUAUCUGCUAACCUACGCGCGUCGCGUCGAUGCCUAAAAACCAUUCUAAGUAUUCCAAAACUCAUUUUUAGCGCCUUCAACAGAUUUUAAUCGUGGAAUGCAGAGCGAACUUGUCUCUCGCUUCUUUCGACACUUCAACAAUUGGUUAAAGUUCAAUAUAUCGUUUCGGGUUUCGAUAUGUUCAUCUAUAUAUGUAUGUAUCAUAUUCAGCAUUAUAUGGAAAGUUUAUUAUGCAAUGAAUUUCUGCAAUGUAAAGAACAUGUGAGCCAUAGAAUAUGAACAUAGAAUUCCUUAUAAAUGUGUAAAUUUUACUGCUGACUAGGAUAAGUAGUAAAUGUUUGGACAUCAUGACUAGAGAUUUGGUUAGCAUCAGAGAAUGAAAUUGGGAUAACUAGUAUAAGAUCUUAGCCUUUAUGAUAGUUUAAAAAAGUGUUGGCAUUGCAUUUGUCUGGAGCUUCAUCUAAAGGCAGUAAUCAGAUCAUAUUUCAUAAUCAGCUUGAUGUGUGCAUAGGGAAGUCGCUUCCUUUUGAACGUAUUGUAGCUCCGAGUAGUCAUCUUUAACUUGGCGUUGCAUGAAGCUGAUUAGCGGUCUCCUCAGCUUAGGACAGUCCCGUGCUGGAGAUUGUUAGGCUUAGGCGGUUCUUCCCGAUAAUUUGGGAUUUGCGUCGCGGUAUUGUUAAUUGUUAGACAAAAGGUAGUUAGAAACUCAUGGGAUUCAUUGUAUAUUACAGUAAUAAUCAUUAGUUAUUGAUGCAGAUGCUCGUUCAUGGCUCGGUAUUUUCAUAAUUUUCAGUCUGCUUAUUGAAUUCCUUAGGUUGUUUCUAGUCUGGGUUGGUUGUUAUACAGGCUCUUGACUGUACAUGUAGUAGUUUUAUGCAUUGUUAUCAGCUAUCGUUCGGUGGUUCACCUCGGUUGCUUACUGUUGACUGAUCGACUCUUAUUUAACUCCUUUUCUUGACGCCGGCAUCUAUGCGGGUAUGCCAAGGCUGAAUAGAAGCGCUAGUGGGGGGGCAUGGAGUCAGUGGGCACUUUGGCUGGAUGCGACGUUGGUAAUUAUCCAUAUCGCAAUUGAUUCGCCAAGCUCGAGAGUGGAUCAUUUCGAGCGUCUGGCAGCGAACCACUGGGAACUUUUAGUAUUCUGCACCACUAACCUAUACUGGUUUCCAGCAUCCCCGAUGCGGGCGGGUGUUGAUCCCGAAGGGGGUGUCUUUUCGGUGAUCAAAGGAAUCGUGGAUGGACAACAUGUCGCCCAUAGAUAGUGUGGACAUCCAUUGAGUAUAGUUGUACCUUAUUUCUUCAUCUGUUUAUGUGAUGAAAGAAAUUAUAAAAUUAUUUAUUGGAGAGAAAAAUGGCAAGUGUGUAUAUGUUGGAAGAAUGAAAUUACAUAUAUAUAUCAUGCCUGGAUUAGCUUCCGUGUGAGAUUGAUCCUUACAGCCGAAGUCGUAUAUAUAUUAUUUCUAUCUUAUGUAUGAUGCAUAUGCCGGCUUAGUUGGUACAUUUCCAGGUGUGAGCAGAUAAUGAUUUAACUUUUACCACGUUGCCUUUUUUUUGUUGCCUCGUCGUUGCAGCCAUAGUAUAUUUAAAAUUUUUGCCUGACGAUUCUUAUACGAUGUUUUGUUUUGUCUCUUUGAGCCUUUGAGAUCCGACACGCGAACAGAGGAGCGGUUAUUUCAUGGUACCGAAUUUCGUGUCGGGUCUUCGGCGUGCCCGAUAUUCGACCAAUUGGCGUUCGGAGCUUGACAAGAAGUAUUCAAAUCAGAUGAAAUUUGGAUUAGAAAUUCUUUAUACUAUGUGUAUUCAGAUCUAGAGAUCAGUAAUGGUUUGAUUUCCGAUUUUUAAUCGCUAUUAUCAGCCAUUUUUAUGAGAUUUUAUUUUUCAUGCCUUUCUAUUCACACCGAUUUCAAUCGUUAGCGUAAAUAUAUCGGUUGAAAAUCACAACAAUCCAUUAUUUAUUUUCUAAAUUACUUUAAAUAUUGUCUUAAGAGUUCAAAAUCUAAUGAGUGUUCCGAUCUUGUUGAUUCUAAAUACUUAAAUAGAUUAAUGUAAUUUUAAAUUUAAAUUUUUUAUUGUUGAUGGUAGCUUUAUUUGAGCUUUCUUUUUAUAACAUCUUAUAAUGCUUUAAUCCUUUUGUAUAUUUUAGGGCUGAACUCCUGGACUGAAAUUUAGUGACAGGUCUUGCAUGCGCCGUGUUUCGGGCUACUAUAGUUUGAAUCCGUGCGACUGCUGUGCUUGAGUUAUAUUAAGCACCCCGCGUUGCCGGGAGCGGCACUGUUGAGUGCGCAGCACAGUUUGCCGCGAGCGAUACGCGACGUUGCGGACGGACGCUAUUGUGGCUUCUUGGGUCUCCAGUGAAAGCGUUUUGGCCACAGUAUAUAUCCUCUAGUGUUGUGGCGCGAAUUACGCUUGCGCGCGCUUGCGUGUGCAACGAUGAGGCUAUUUUACUUUCAGCCCACGAUAGCUGUUGCGGUUAUGAUGGCUUCUUGAACUCGGCCGUGAGAUACUCUCCGCUUGCUCCCUGCGGCUACGCCCGGCGGGUGUCCUGCCGGUUAUUCCACAUCUGGGGGACAAUGUUUACGUCGUUGCCAGGUCACGUGAUCGCUCCGGGACUAUGCUGUUUCCGUACCUGGGGACGGCGGGCUGAACCCGCGGACAGACUUGGGCCAUGCGCGCUGCGGGCGGCGGGCCGGCGCGAAUGCGAGCCCGAGUAUUGCGGGCCGCAUACAAAAUAAUAAAUUAAAUUAAAAUUUAAAAUUUUUCUUUUGAAUGUUGCUUAUUUGGCUUUCUUUUAAACAUCUUCAUAUAAAGAAAAAAAAAUACUGUAUUGAAUUUUAAAUUUUGUAUUUGAAUAUUGAAUUUUAAAAUGUUAAAAUUCGAAUUUUUAAAUUUUUUUACAUAUAUAUCAACAUUGUUCUUUAGAUGAUCCAAAUGGCUUAUUAUUUUCUCUGUAGGAGAGCCAAAUGACUGAUUUUUUUCUUGUAGGAAUGUGUUGCGGACUUUUGUAGGUGUAGGCUAAUAUCCACAAACAAAUAUGCAAGUUUGUUUUUGUUUGUUUAAUUAUUGGUACUCAUUUUAUUCUGAAAACUACAAAUCCUGUUGGUAACUUAAUAUAGAUUAUAUAUAUACUUGGAGUUAGAUAUAUUUUAAUCGGUUUAUAUGCAGGCCGUAUUAGUGAUUCUCCUAUCAUGCUUGUCAAACCUCAAACUUUUAUGAAUGUAAGUGGUGAAUCUGUAAGUAAAUGCCUAUAACCCAUCUAAAUUAUGUACAAAUAUCUGAAGAAAUAUUUAUUAUAGUUCUAUUCUAGUUUUAUGAUGCAAAUUGGGACUUCUUCAUGUAGGUUGAAUCGCUGGUUUCAUAUUACAAGGUACCACUGAAUCAAGCACUUCUGGUAUAUAU